rnacentral:ncRNA from 1 species
GAACGCGGAAUGCUAGGAAACUGGCACGUUCCGUGUGGAGCAGGGGAAAAGCCGGAGAUAACUUCAAACGCUUACCUUUAG